ACGCUCGACACCUACGGGAGGCAGCAGUGGGGAAUAUUGCACAAUGGGGGAAACCCUGAUGCAGCGACGCCGCGUGGAGGAAGAAGGUCUUCGGAUUGUAAACUCCUGUUGUUGGGGAAAAAGAGGAUGGUACCCAACAAGGAAGUGACGGCUAACUACGUGCCAUCAGCCGCGGUAAUCUGAGCGGGCUGGCAAGGC
rnacentral:rRNA from 1 species